rnacentral:lncRNA from 1 species
CCCAAGUCCAGGUUUGGUGCAUAAAAGCUUUAACCCCACUUAUCUUUCACACCUGUAAAUUCAUUAUUAUUUCCAUUUCUAUCAGAUCUUUCCUACAAAUGCUGCACACGCUUUUCUUUUCUUUUCUUUUUUACCAAAUAUGCCUUUGAAAUUCAAGAAUUUUUCUAAUAUCAAAUGGGAGAGGCAUUUUUUGUGUGUGAAUGUAUAUAAAUUUAAUUCUUUUGAAGAAUGUUAGUAUUCUAUUGUUUUCUUGAAAUAUUAUUGGGUUAAAUGGUUGAAAGUUCGUUCUUUUUCCAUUUUGUCCACUAGAAAAUUGAUUCUUUGAAUGUGCAUUAUAAGACCAAAGACCGACUCUUUUUGGCUCGAGGGUCAUUACUGAAUUUAUGUGUUUAUUGAUGUGUGUGGAUUCUAUGUGCUCAUAAAGAUUAUGGCUUUAUUUAUUUUACUUUUUGUCCUUAUGCUUCAUUUUCAUGGGUUCCUUUCUCUUUCUGAAUGUCUUUUUGUAGGUAGUUCUAGAUAGGGUGUAAAUGGUGGAUGCCAAUACUAGACCUGUGCAGUUUUGUCCUAUUUUUGUUCCAUUUUCGCCCUCCUUAAUAAGUAUAAAUAAGGAUUACUGGUUGUGUAUUUUCUUCAUUGCAGGAACUCUUUGUUCUCACUGCAAGUGGGAUUCUUCUCCAUUGCGCAUUUAUCUGAGUCGAAAAUGAGCGUCAGUGGCUCUGCUGAAGGUCUAAUUAAUUCUUAUUCUCCUUUUAAUUUGUAUGUACUCUUAGCUGUUUAAGCUAUAAUCUUUCAUAAAUUAAGGAAAAACGUUUAGCCCAAUUUUAAAUUGACCUUCGAAUUUAUUAGGUAGCCAAACAUCUAGAAGGGCAUUUGAGUUUGGAAGGACUCAUGUUGUCAGGCCAAGAGGGAGACACGAAGCUACAAUCGUUUGGCUUCAUGGCCUUGGUGAUAGAGGCUCAAGG